rnacentral:rRNA from 1 species
AGAGUUUGAUCAUGGCUCAGAACGAACGCUGGCGGCAGGCUUAACACAUGCAAGUCGAGCGCAUCCUUCGGGGUGAGUGGCAGACGGGUGAGUAACGCGUGGGAACGUGCCCUUCAGUUCGGAAUAACCCAGGGAAACUUGGGCUAAUACCGGAUACGUGCGAGAGCAGAAAGAUUUAUCGCUGAAGGAUCGGCCCGCGUCUGAUUAGCUAGUUGGUGGGGUAAUGGCCCACCAAGGCGACGAUCAGUAGCUGGUCUGAGAGGAUGAUCAGCCACAUUGGGACUGAGACACGGCCCAAACUCCUACGGGAGGCAGCAGUGGGGAAUAUUGGACAAUGGGCGCAAGCCUGAUCCAGCCAUGCCGCGUGAGUGAUGAAGGCCUUAGGGUUGUAAAGCUCUUUCAGUGGGGACGAUAAUGACGGUACCCGCAGAAGAAGCCCCGGCUAACUUCGUGCCAGCAGCGGCGGUAAUAC